AGUGGCUGAGCAAGAAGGGAGUCUAACUUUUACAAACGUUUAGUGAAAAUUGAGAAAACACUGUGGUAGUUUAGGAUGAACACCACUUUGAAGCACUGGAAGGAGGCGGCCACUCUUAUUUUAGCCGCAGGCCACAGCCGCGGGGCGGACACUUUAUCGUCAAGGACACCACUAACAGCUGCUCCAGGUGCACCGCCGGACAGCAGCUCCGGACCGUCACACCUGCCGCACAAGUCCAGCUUUGACUACGAUGUUUUACUGCUUAAACGAAGCGGCAAAAGUGGAUUUAUGCCUAAUGCGUAUGUGUUUCCCGGUGGCAUGGUGGACCCUUCGGACUUUUCGAGUGAAUGGCUCGACAUUUUCAAAUCGUUCAGGAACUCUGCUAACUUUGGUUUGAGAAGUGUCACCCAGCCGGUGCAGACUCGACCUCCACUGUUCGCCACAGACCGACUGAAACUGGGCUCUCCUAUCCCGGGAGAGGUCGCCUUCCGGAUCUGCGCCUUGAGGGAGACGUUCGAGGAGUCCGGUCUGCUCCUGGUUGUGUCUAAACUAGAGGAGAGAAGUUUGUUAAAAAGCAUAGAGGACAGGUAUGCCACUGACCAAGCACAACAUUACAGCUUAAACGACCUGUGCAGUAGUGAACUAACCAAGUGGAGAGCUCUGGUGAACCAGGACCCCUCCAACUUUAUCAGGAUGUGCAGAGAGUUGGAGGUGUUGCCCAACAUCUGGGCUUUGCAUGAGUGGAGCAACUGGCUGACCCCCAUAGGCCGGUACGGUGCGAGGAGGUACGACACCGCUUUCUUCAUGUGCUGCCUGCAGGAGAUCCCACACACACUUGAAGAUGAAAAGGAAAUAGUGCGCUUUCAGUGGUCCACACCCUCAGAGGUCCUCAAAAGCUUCAAGGCACAGGAGGUUUGGAUUCCCCCUCCACAGUUCUAUGAGCUCAGCCGUAUGUGCCGCGUCCCUUUGUUGAAAGACCUCCACAACUUCUCCAGCCGGCGUGCCACAGAGGGCUGUGAAAUGUGGCUGCCAGUUGUUCUCCAAAAAGAUGAUCCCUACAUAUCACUGCUGCCAGGUGACAAACACUACCCAGCAGACACUCCAGGAGAGGCUGAGGGGGAUCCUCAGGAUAAUUCUGCUCUGCACCGUAUUGUGGUCACAGAUCCAUACUCUUUAACUCUACAGAUCACCAUCAAGCCCAAGUAUAAUCAUCUGCUUCCUGUUUUAGAGCGCACCUCCCCACACGACUCAAAAAGUCAGCUUUGACUUGCCCGUCCUGCUGUACGAGCCACAUAACUCCUGCAAUGAAGCAAGACAAGUGAAUGAUAAUAUCAGAUAGACCUUUUAUAUAACAGAGAUUUUGACUUGUCAUAGUAGGAGAAGGUUUUACCGAUAACAUUAACGUUAUUUUAGUCACCAUUACAUACCAUUUUGUUCAAUAAGAAAGUUAUUGAAGAGGGAACAUAAAGCUCUCUAUGCUAGGUCAUUUUUCGAAUACUAUUACCAUAAUCAGAAUCUUAUAUAUGUUUAUAUUCAUAUAUAAUACCUCAUUGUCAGAUGUUUUUUUUAGCCUAUCUGAGCUAUAAAGGAACAACAAAAACACUUGUAGCUCGCAAGCCAAUUAUGCCUGAAAUCACGCUUAGUUAGUACUGCACAUGUGCAACUUUCAAUAGAGAUGAGAAGGAAGCAAAGUGGCGCACCCGUUAGGGACUUUUAUCAUUUAGCUCUGGAAAAAAUGAUCACUGCAUCUGAAAUCAAUGAUGGAAGUAGUUAACAAGUGUGCCAUUUUGCUUCUUUCUCCUCCCUGUUGAGAGCGACACAUACACGGUACAGAUCUGAAUUUAUUUUUUUUUAGUUGCCAUUGCACUUCUGUUUUCUACUUUUACUGUACUCUUUUUUUUUUUUUACUAAAAAGUUAUUUUUCAGUUUUGACUGACCAAACCAUACCCACACAUGGUUAGUACUAAACAACUGUUUAUAAAAAGAUUUAUGUAUUAUUAUACAUAUGAUUAUAAUUACAUUUUGUAUUUCACUGGUAUCUGAUCCAUUUGGCAGAUACACAAGUUCAGACGGAUAGAUACUUUAUUUAAAAUCAAGAAAAUUCAGGUAUCCAGUAGCUUAUACAAACAUACUGUUCAGCAAACAGUACAGCAAAGAGCAAACAGUACAACAAGACUUGUUCACACAAAACUGUUCAAAAGUCAAAGAUAGAAAAAUAAAAUACAGUAAGAGUAAAAAUGCAGAAAAGUUUCAAAAAAAGUUUCAGUGACGGAAUUUAAAAUCUGAAUUAGAGAUGAUUAAAAAUACGCACUGAAAUAACUUUAUAAAAUAUGAGAUGGUGAAUAAUAAUUAUCAAUAAUAAUAAAUACUGUAGACAAGUGCAAUAUGGGCUAAUGAAGCCAGUAACUGAAAAGACAUUUUGGCGGUUUUGGCGGUUUUGGCGGUUUUGGCGGUUUUGGCGGUUUUCCCCCUGUAUAGACAGGCAUAUGGCCCAGGAGACAACAGACUUGCUCCGUCUGUCUGCUGAGCACUUCAGUGACAGCAACUGGCCACUGAACAUGCUCCUCUGUUUUCCUGUUGUGCUGUGCAGAGGGUGACUGGUAUUUUCCAAGGUGGAGAGCAGUUUAUUUAGAGGUACUGUACUGUAAUCUGUGCCAGGAAGAGGGAAAAUGGCAUCGGAACAUCUCUACUGGCAGCAUAUCCAGUUGAACUGACUUCCUGCAAAAGUUUACUGUUUUCAAUCCUUAAGCUGUGACACUGUGGCACAUGUACAAUGCCAGUUAAAUGGAAUCCAACCAUCAAUAAUGGUAUUAUUUACACCUUACCUCAUGUAACAUGUCAAAAUGAGUACUGUUGAGAACGCUUAUUGGGUCCUUUUCAAUGACAAACUUAUUUCUUUGGAUCUUAACCAGAUGUUAACGAGAAUGUUGCCAUCACUGCCAUCAGAUCUAGAAAGACCUGUUUCUCCAUAAACUUCCUCACCUUUUUUUUCUUGUUUUAUAUGUAAUGUGAUAUUAUCAAAUAAGAAACGCUUUCUAAUGGCCUUAUUAAACAAAGGUUUAACUGAGAUACUAAUUUAUAUUUGCAGCACAAUUAAAAUGAGAAGCCCUCUGUAAGACUUGAAGUGGUUCAGGCAGAAUUUGAUUUAAUGUAGCUGCUUGGUUUUGUUUGAUCAGUGAAGCUCUGUCUCUAUAGAAUAUACUGAUUACAGAAAAAAUAUGACAGUAAAUCUGAUAAUGUUAUAAUGUUUACCGUGCCAAAGCUAAUGCCAGGGGCCCAAAAUGAAAAGGGACCACACUGGCCCACCUAUGGUGAAAUAUAAACCAUCAUAGAUUGUGCAAACCUAUCCAGCCGCCUCUUCGUCAGCUCUGCUGAAUAUAUGUUGUAAUCUUCUGAUUGACAUUGUCCAGUGAUGGCAUGUGACUAGGAUAGAACAGUUUCUGUCCUGGUCCUUCUGCUAACUCUGUGAUCUGGCCUGCUGUGUAGUGUCCGGCACUGUGGUGACUUUUGUUUCAUAAAGGCUUUGCUGGAUCCUGGAGUUCUCCGCCGCUCAACCAGUGAAACCAUAAGUCACUAUGACCUGAUUGGAACUUUUCUAAAAAUGAUGAGACACAUGAGAACAGGUCAGUAA